GGACUACCAGGGUAUCUAAUCCUGUUCGCUCCCCACGCUUUCGUGCCUCAGUGUCAGUAACGGUCCAGGAAGUCGCCUUCGCCACUGGUGUUCCUUCCGAUAUCUACGCAUUUCACCGCUACACCGGAAAUUCCACUUCCCUCUACCGCACUCUAGCCAAUCAGUUUUAUAUGCAAUUCCCAGGUUAAGCCCGGGGUUUUCACAUACAACUUAAUUAACCACCUACGCACCCUUUACGCCCAGUAAUUCCGAUUAACGCUUGCACCCUCUGUAUUACCGCGGCUGCUGGCAC
rnacentral:rRNA from 1 species